ensembl:lncRNA
GUGAGAGCACAAAGCAGUAAAGUAGGCAGGCUCUGGUUAUGGGGGUAGAUGCUCGAGGAUUUCCAGGGGGACUCCUGAGGCUCCAUCCCGCCUUUGCAUAUGUCGAGCCUCCUUCCUCAUGACCUUUGCCAUGGGCGGAGUGCCUCCCGCCGGCUCCCCGCAGUCAAUGGAUUGAAUGAUGUCUACCUGUACUGGUGAGGGUAUUCUUCUGAGUCAAAUGCUGCUGUCUUCAAGAAACACUCAAAGACACACCAAGAAAUAGCAUUUUGCCAUCUGUCCAGGCAUCCCUUAGCCCAGAAGGAAGAAUGAAAUUUGCUGGAAGUUGCAGGGAUUGAGAGCUAAAAGGAGAAGACAAAAAAGUAAAUGGGGAAGAAAUAAGACUGACUUCAGUUAAUCGCCAGUCAUUUGGCAACCAGGAACACUUGGGACUCAGUCUGUCUAUCCAGGAACAAGAAGGGAACAGAAAAGCCUUGAAAAGAACUCAACAAGAAGGUUAUUGUAAGGACAAAUGGUGAAAUCACACAGACAUCUAAAUACAAGCACGAGGGUGGCUGAAUAGAAUAUUUAUUGCUCUAAGUCCCAUUUCCUUAAAGAGAUCCUGGUUUCUCUUACAUGUGUCCUAAUAAAAAGCUUACCAUCUACUUUAGUGACUUUUCUAUGUUGC